rnacentral:rRNA from 1 species
AUACGGAGGGUGCGAGCGUUACUCGGAGUCACUGGGCGUAAAGCGUCCGUAGGCGGUCGGGUAAGUCGGGUGUGAAAGCCCCGGGCUCAACCUGGGAAGUGCACCCGAUACUGCUCGACUCGAGUGCGGGAGAGGAUGGCGGAAUUCCCGGUGUAGCGGUGAAAUGCGUAGAGAUCGGGAGGAACACCAGUGGCGAAGGCGGCCAUCUGGCCCGCAACUGACGCUGAGGGUCGAAAGCGUGGGGAGCAAACAGGAUUAGAAACCCCAGUAGUCC